UUAAGCGACUAAGCGUACACGGUGGAUGCCCUGGCAGUCAGAGGCGAUGAAGGACGUGCUAAUCUGCGAUAAGCGUCGGUAAGGUGAUAUGAACCGUUAUAACCGGCGAUUUCCGAAUGGGGAAACCCAGUGUGAUUCGUCACACUAUCAUUAACUGAAUCCAUAGGUUAAUGAGGCGAACCGGGGGAACUGAAACAUCUAAGUACCCCGAGGAAAAGAAAUCAACCGAGAUUCCCCCAGUAGCGGCGAGCGAACGGGGAGGAGCCCAGAGCCUGAAUCAGUGUGUGUGUUAGUGGAAGCGUCUGGAAAGGCGCGCGAUACAGGGUGACAGCCCCGUACACAAAAAUGCACAUAUUGUGAGCUCGAUGAGUAGGGCGGGACACGUGGUAUCCUGUCUGAAUAUGGGGGGACCAUCCUCCAAGGCUAAAUACUCCUGACUGACCGAUAGUGAACCAGUACCGUGAGGGAAAGGCGAAAAGAACCCCGGCGAGGGGAGUGAAAAAGAACCUGAAACCGUGUACGUACAAGCAGUGGGAGCACGCUUAGGCGUGUGACUGCGUACCUUUUGUAUAAUGGGUCAGCGACUUAUAUUCUGUAGCAAGGUUAACCGAAUAGGGGAGCCGGAGGGAAACCGAGUCUUAACUGGGCGUUAAGUUGCAGGGUAUAGACCCGAAACCCGGUGAUCUAGCCAUGGGCAGGUUGAAGGUUGGGUAACACUAACUGGAGGACCGAACCGACUAAUGUUGAAAAAUUAGCGGAUGACUUGUGGCUGGGGGUGAAAGGCCAAUCAAACCGGGAGAUAGCUGGUUCUCCCCGAAAGCUAUUUAGGUAGCGCCUCGUGAAUUCAUCUCCGGGGGUAGAGCACUGUUUCGGCAAGGGGGUCAUCCCGACUUACCAACCCGAUGCAAACUGCGAAUACCGGAGAAUGUUAUCACGGGAGACACACGGCGGGUGCUAACGUCCGUCGUGAAGAGGGAAACAACCCAGACCGCCAGCUAAGGUCCCAAAGUCAUGGUUAAGUGGGAAACGAUGUGGGAAGGCCCAGACAGCCAGGAUGUUGGCUUAGAAGCAGCCAUCAUUUAAAGAAAGCGUAAUAGCUCACUGGUCGAGUCGGCCUGCGCGGAAGAUGUAACGGGGCUAAACCAUGCACCGAAGCUGCGGCAGCGACGCUGAUGCGUUGUUGGGUAGGGGAGCGUUCUGUAAGCCUGCGAAGGUGUGCUGUGAGGCAUGCUGGAGGUAUCAGAAGUGCGAAUGCUGACAUAAGUAACGAUAAAGCGGGUGAAAAGCCCGCUCGCCGGAAGACCAAGGGUUCCUGUCCAACGUUAAUCGGGGCAGGGUGAGUCGACCCCUAAGGCGAGGCCGAAAGGCGUAGUCGAUGGGAAACAGGUUAAUAUUCCUGUACUUGGUGUUACUGCGAAGGGGGGACGGAGAAGGCUAUGUUGGCCGGGCGACGGUUGUCCCGGUUUAAGCGUGUAGGCUGGUUUUCCAGGCAAAUCCGGAAAAUCAAGGCUGAGGCGUGAUGACGAGGCACUACGGUGCUGAAGCAACAAAUGCCCUGCUUCCAGGAAAAGCCUCUAAGCAUCAGGUAACAUCAAAUCGUACCCCAAACCGACACAGGUGGUCAGGUAGAGAAUACCAAGGCGCUUGAGAGAACUCGGGUGAAGGAACUAGGCAAAAUGGUGCCGUAACUUCGGGAGAAGGCACGCUGAUAUGUAGGUGAAGCGACUUGCUCGUGGAGCUGAAAUCAGUCGAAGAUACCAGCUGGCUGCAACUGUUUAUUAAAAACACAGCACUGUGCAAACACGAAAGUGGACGUAUACGGUGUGACGCCUGCCCGGUGCCGGAAGGUUAAUUGAUGGGGUUAGCGCAAGCGAAGCUCUUGAUCGAAGCCCCGGUAAACGGCGGCCGUAACUAUAACGGUCCUAAGGUAGCGAAAUUCCUUGUCGGGUAAGUUCCGACCUGCACGAAUGGCGUAAUGAUGGCCAGGCUGUCUCCACCCGAGACUCAGUGAAAUUGAACUCGCUGUGAAGAUGCAGUGUACCCGCGGCAAGACGGAAAGACCCCGUGAACCUUUACUAUAGCUUGACACUGAACAUUGAGCCUUGAUGUGUAGGAUAGGUGGGAGGCUUUGAAGUGUGGACGCCAGUCUGCAUGGAGCCGACCUUGAAAUACCACCCUUUAAUGUUUGAUGUUCUAACGUUGACCCGUGAUCCGGGUUGCGGACAGUGUCUGGUGGGUAGUUUGACUGGGGCGGUCUCCUCCUAAAGAGUAACGGAGGAGCACGAAGGUUGGCUAAUCCUGGUCGGACAUCAGGAGGUUAGUGCAAUGGCAUAAGCCAGCUUGACUGCGAGCGUGACGGCGCGAGCAGGUGCGAAAGCAGGUCAUAGUGAUCCGGUGGUUCUGAAUGGAAGGGCCAUCGCUCAACGGAUAAAAGGUACUCCGGGGAUAACAGGCUGAUACCGCCCAAGAGUUCAUAUCGACGGCGGUGUUUGGCACCUCGAUGUCGGCUCAUCACAUCCUGGGGCUGAAGUAGGUCCCAAGGGUAUGGCUGUUCGCCAUUUAAAGUGGUACGCGAGCUGGGUUUAGAACGUCGUGAGACAGUUCGGUCCCUAUCUGCCGUGGGCGCUGGAGAACUGAGGGGGGCUGCUCCUAGUACGAGAGGACCGGAGUGGACGCAUCACUGGUGUUCGGGUUGUCAUGCCAAUGGCACUGCCCGGUAGCUAAAUGCGGAAGAGAUAAGUGCUGAAAGCAUCUAAGCACGAAACUUGCCCCGAGAUGAGUUCUCCCUGACUCCUUGAGAGUCCUGAAGGAACGUUGAAGACGACGACGUUGAUAGGCCGGGUGUGUAAGCGCAGCGAUGCGUUGAGCUAACCGGUACUAAUGAACCGUGAGGCUUAACCUU
rnacentral:rRNA from 1 species